rnacentral:lncRNA from 1 species
AUGGCGUCGCUCAUGCCAUUGAAGGAGAAGUGGCUCAUGGAGGUUAAACCUGGAGAGCUGCCAAGCUGGCUAUCGAUACGGGAUUUCACCCCAGUGGCGCUGCAGGAGCCUUUCGGAGAGGGUAUGACCGGUAUUACGAGUUCGGAAAGGCAGCGUCUGUCUCGGGGAUUAACAUGGUACUGGCAGCCUGUGUGGUUUUCAGCUACUGCAUUUCUUACAAGGAACUCAAACAUGAGCGGUGACACAGGAACCACUGA